GGUUCCCACGAGAUUCCCUGGUAAAGGGGGCGUGAGAGGGCUUGAUAUAGGUACCGAUUGGCUAGUUUACGUAUUAACCCCAAUCUCUGACUUCUGAAAAUUUGUGAACGUCAGACAUAGGAUCAGUUAUGCUAGCAAACAAAGACGGAGAAAUCCGUUUUGCUAACUUAAUCGCUCUAGAUAAACUAAAGAACGAUAAGUAGAGUUUAACUAGCAUAUCAGCUUUCUCAUCCCUUUUAUAUAUAGAUUUGUUGUCUAUGAAAGGAUGGUAUGAUCCUAAGGUAACCUGAUCUAGUGAGUGAUACGUGUACAGAUAGUUUAGUAUGAAUAUCAUACGAGGUAAUCCCACCGUACGCCUGUUGAAGUGUUACUGCGCACUGCUUCAGAUAUAAAGCAGUAAACAGAGCGCCGCGCCUGACCGGCGAUUCAAACUACCUGCUUGGCAAAGAGGUAUGCUCCGAUACAGAGCUCCUUGGUUAGGUUAGACCAUCAGUGACUACUAAAAUAAACUUAUUACACAUUGACUUUAGUAGCCGAAGAUCUUCCACCAUUGGAUGAGUCUAACUAUAGAUAUCCUAUAAAAAAAGUUUUCCAGAUGGAAGCCUAUUAUCUAAAUAGAUAAGCUUCCUACGCUGGUUUGGUUACCUGCAUGAGGCCGCUUGAUAUCAUAUCUUACCCCACCCGGGUGGCUUCCGCGUCACCCCCAGUUGCUCCAUUCUGGAUCCCUGAGUGAUAGAAUAGCUAUAAGCUAGCCCACCUCACCUUGAUGAGUUUCACUAAGAAACCGGGGGGUGCCUAUUUGACUAACAUAGGGCUCUGCCUUACCAAGCAGAGUGAGGUUAGAAACUCAAAUUUUGUGAUAGGACUGACCUGACCCUGGUGAGAACCAGCCUAUCACGCCACCGAGGUUCCGCCUCGUUGGCCUUAGUCUUGCGAUCUAAGGGUGAAGGAGUCAUCCAGCCACCGGGAUUGGUUACC
rnacentral:lncRNA from 1 species